ACUCUGUUUCUCUCUCCACAGAUGCUGCCAGACCUGCUGAAUUUUUCUAGCACUUUCUGUUUUUAUUCUGGAAUUUCCACUCCUGAUAUCCCCUGUAUUGGGAUGCUAUGUGUGUCCCAGUGAGUGCGUACCAGUGUGAUGAAAUUUGUCCAAUUUUACAAUCAGGUCCGCCCAAUCUAUGCUUAGCCAAAGGGCAAAAUUAUUUGAAAAAUCUAAGUACCUAAAGUUGCUAUCCAUUAUUGCAAAGUCACUGAUAGUUUAUCAUCACAGAUUGUCAACAUUUCUAGUGAGCCAAAAGAGAAUGAAUAGUGGUAUCCACAUAAAUAAAACAUCUGUACCUGACCAGCUCAUGUUUAGCCACGGUUGAAAGCUGGGAUUUGUUGCUUAGCUAUCCUUCAAAUAUAUCAACAUCUGCAGGAUUGGAACUGAUGGAUAAUUUAUCAGUUCUCAUCUCAAAUAAUGUGACCAACUGGGGCAAAGAAAAGAAUCCAUACAUGUCUUUCAAAGCUACUAUACAACUUUGUCAUCAGGUUCUAAUAGGAGAAAGCUGUGAUCAGUACCAUUGUGCACAUUGCAGAGUCAUAAUGUAAACUGUGCUAACCAGGCAGGUACAGAACAAAGAACAACUGCUUUACAACUGCCUCCUAGACAGCACACUAGCCUAAGUCAAGAUAUGAAGAUGCUCUAUGUCUGACUCUAUAAGAGAAAGCAAAUAGUACUAGACAAGUCCAAAGUUACAUUCAAAGGUGCCAUUACAAAAAUGGUGGUGGAUGGAGCUGUCUUUACAGAGGGAAAUCUGUUACUUUGAAUCAAGUUCUGGUGCCCGGAGAUACACAAGGAAAAAAAGCUCUGAUCAACUCAUGAUCUUUUGAUGUACAGAUGAAUUUGAAGAGUAGCUCCAAAGUCUUGGCAAUAAUAGGGAACAGAUCCCACAGGAGCACCUGGAUCAGUCAAACUUUUGUGGACUAUUGAAUUGACCCAUUAAUAUCAUUCUGCCACCCAGGUGUGUCCGCAUUGGUUGACUCUUGUCAUGCUUUUCCAGUCCACUUGUGUAGUCUAACAGCUGAAUGUUUUGUGAAAUAUGUAUAACUUUAAAUAAUUUAACAUUUUUAUUCAUUUGUCUUGUGUGGGAAGAAACAAACAUUCAUUGGUGAUCAAACAUUUUAGCUUCUUUUGAAGAUGACAUAAGUAGUGCGGAAUAGUGAGAUCACUGCAUAUAGUAAUCACGAGACUGAGUGUGACUCUGAGGCACAAGGCCACUCAGUCCUACAUUUUCUAAUGCACCUUUCCACUAUAGUUUUAAUCCUAACAUAAGGACAUCGACCCGAAACAUUAAUUCUAUUUCUUUCUUUGCAGAUGCUGCCUGACCUGCUGAGUGUUUAUAACAAUUUCUGUUUUAAUUUCAAGUUUCCAGCAUCCACAAUAUAUUGUUGCUAUAGUUCCACCCACUAGUUAAUUAUUAUGUAUUCACGACAUAAAUGUAAAUUCAGGAGCAUAAUCACAUCGCUACACCUCCGGGUGUAAAGUUAUGACGUUGUCCUUCGUUUUCUACCUCAAGUCUGGGAUUCGGAUCAGAUCUGGCGCUGCCAGUGUUAGCCUUGACGGUGAGAAUUCCAUUUUCAACAGCCUCAACUCCAGCUCAGAUCCGGCUAGGCUGCUGUUCGUUCCCCAGCCGUGGAUUCCAUGAUUAUUCCAUAGAAAAGCAGUGAUAGCCACACCGCUACCCAUCCACAAGCCAUGGAUCCUACGCCAUUGUGUUCUGAGAACCUGCCCUGGAUCUGCACGGAGACUUACCCAAUCCCGCGUGCAUCACAACGGCAGCUGCGCUUGAACACGGAGAGGAAGAGUCUCAUCCCAAGGCUCUAUCUGAAGACAAUGUGAGCUGAAGCAAGCCCCAACGCGAAAUGCACUGUGGACUGGCAAAUAUGCGAGCCUGCUUUCUAAAAUACUGGCCAUGUUGUACUCCUGGCAUUUGGGAUUGACUCAGACCCAGCUCGUCAACUUUUCCAGACUACGGAAAAACAUGGCUGAAAGCAAAAAUCGUUUCUGGUCCGUUUUCUGGUUAAUUGUGUUUAUUUUCUUUGGUUGGCCACUUGGUAUUUUUCUGGGUGGAUUGUAUGGCUUUCUCUCUCCUCUGGCUGAUUUCCUUGGACUCAAUGAAAUAACUGAUGCCCUUCUAAAAGGUGCAAACCUGGGGAGACUCUGUGCUAAAAAUAUGCUAAAAAGUAAACCUGCCUGCUAAAAGGACCAUCGCUACCAUUUCAACUACUUCACUACAACUGGCACAAAGUUUUACUUUACCACAAAAAUGACGGCAGAUUUAUGUAUUUUAAAAUCUGCUGAGGGGCAUCACCUUGCUGAACUCUGUGGGUGGCUGUUGAUAAUUUAAUUUGUAUUAAUACCGUUGUACGCCCUUUUCAAACAAAGACAAAUAAACUCGCUUUGCGUCAUUA